GGUACGACUCACGGCAACGGAUAUCUCAGCUCUUGCAUCGACGAAGAAUGUAGCGAAAUGCGAUACGUGGUGCCAAUUGCAGAAUCCCGCGAACCAUCGAGUCUUCGAAUGCAAGUUGCGCCCGAGGCCAUCCGGCCGAGGGCACGCCUGCCUAGGCACCAACC
rnacentral:rRNA from 1 species